UACAGAGGGUGCAAGCGUUAAUCGGAAUUACUGGGCGUAAAGGGCGCGUAGGCGGAUAGGCAAGUGAGAUGUGAAAUACCCGGGCUUAACCUGGGAACUGCAUCUUAAACUGCGUAUCUGGAGUACUGUAGAGGACAGUGGAAUUUCCGGUGUAGCGGUGAAAUGCGUAGAGAUCGGAAGGAACACCAGUGGCGAAGGCGACUGUCUGGACAGAUACUGACGCUGAGGCGCGAGAGCGUGGGGAGCAAACAGG
rnacentral:rRNA from 1 species